rnacentral:rRNA from 1 species
UACGUAGGGGGCAAGCGUUGUCCGGAUUUAUUGGGCGUAAAGAGCGUGUAGGCGGCCAAGCAGGUCCGCUGUGAAAACUCGAGGCUCAACCUCGAGACGUCGGUGGAAACCGUUUGGCUAGAGUCCGGAAGAGGAGAGUGGAAUUCCCGGUGUAGCGGUGAAAUGCGCAGAUAUCGGGAAGAACACCGGUGGCGAAGGCGGUCUUCUGGACGGUGACUGACGCUGAGGCGCGAAAGCGUGGGGAGCAAACGGG